rnacentral:lncRNA from 1 species
UAUCACUGCGAGCAUCAAAAAAAAUAUUAUUUGGAGUCAAGUCACGGUGAAUAAUUCCUUGACUAUGUAUGUGGGCCAGGCCUUCUACAAUUUGACGAAACAAGUGCCAUGCAUCCUUCUUAUCAAAAUGACUAUAAGAUUCAAACAUUUGCCGAAGAGUAACCUUGGGCAGUAUUCCAUUUGAAUAUAGAGAUAUGUUCCGACUUUGUUGUCUUGCCCUAUGACAUCAGUUGAAGUAUGAUCUAUA